GGGGCCGCCGCGCGGGCUCUGCCGGCGGGACGUGGGCCCGGCCCGGGCUGGUCCCCGGGCUGGUCCCCGGGCGACAGACCUGACGGAGGCUGCUCCUGCCUCACCAUUUCCUGGGGGUUCAAGACCUCGCCCACGUACUCAGAAACCAUCACCUGAGUACAAGGGAGAGUAGGAAUUUGGCUAUCUUGGGCUGUCUGGGUUAUCAAGAGAGGCUGGAAAUGAUGCAGAGCCACUAGUUCCUGCUGUACAGAGGAUGCGCGUGGAGCCCUACUGUGCCAGUUUGGUCCUGCUAAAGAAGACACUGUCUCUAAUUCAGGGAAAACCUCAAGAAAUUUAAGAAAAGUAGUGACUGGAGUUAACCAGUUUGACAAGCUCUGAGGUUGCAUAUGAUGGACUAUGAGAGUUUGCAUCAGAGGCAGAAAAUCUUUCUGGAAUUUGCAUGUUCAACAAGGGGAAAAUGAAUGAGGAAGUUCUCCAGAGUUACCUGGAUGAAUGACUGUCCAAGGAAGGAUGCUAGGUGUAAACAGUCUAUGGGAACGGAUAAAGAGGUCAGUCAGUCUAUGCAGCUAUGUUUUGAAGGUCAAAAACUGUAGGAAUUCAGCCCAAAAGUCAAGCUGAGUUAGACCUUGCAAAGAUCUGUGAAGAUAAAUGUGUAAAGGUUUGUUAAUGGUAUAAAUAGAAACAAAAUUCAAAAAGGAGGAAGUAGGGCUGCUGUGCACAGAGCAGGAGGCUGAGAUCAAACACAGUAUUUGGAUCACACUUAGAUCAAGGGCCAGACCUAGGAGGCUACACAGGGCUGUAGUGCCAGGAAGUUAAUUUGGCUCUGAGAACAAAAUUUACAAUGCUGAGGAAGAUGUCUUAUUCUUUUUUAUAGUCAAUGAGAGAAAGUUACAUUUUGGGGACUAAAAUCUAACACAAACUGGUGUGGUGAUGGAGUUGCUCACGACAAAAUGCCAAAAGCCACCUUUCCAGAAUUUGUCUUGUCUGGUCCAUAACAAAGCUUCAGCCUCACCUAUCUUAGUAAAUAAAAUAUGGUGAGGGUCUAGGAUGGUGUACCAGUCCUCAAUUGCCCGUGGUGUUUAACAGUUCCCACUGCAGGUAUGGUCUGUGCAAAACAGCCCUCCCCGGACAAUGUCUGUGCACAGUUCAUGGGACAGCAUGGCAUUGCUCUGCCCAGUGAGCAGUUUGGAGGUGGUCACCUUGCUAUGGAAUUGUUUUGGAGAAGAAGAAGGUUCUGCUGAAUGGAUGCAAGCUGUGCUGUGCAGCUUGCCCUCAAAGACAGAUAACAGGACACAGCCCAUUCUAUUUAGUAACAUGAGUCUAGCCUCUGAAACUGGGAAGAUAUAAAUGACUCAAAUGCUAUCGGGACAUCUUGGAUGACCUCAGUUGUGUACUGUUAGGGGUCAUUGGAUAACUGGGUUUUGAUUAAACUGGUAAAGAACUGCAGCAUAGUAUAUUUGAGGUUUCUUGUAUAUAACCUAAUCUUAGACCCUUUUAACAUGCUCUUGUCUGAGUUGUUCAGAGAGUUCUCUAGGCAGCAGAAUGCAUGACACUUUAUAUCCACCUAUUUAAGCAGAGCUCGUAGGCUCAGAGGAGUGCAAGAUUGCUGUGUGAAAAAGGAGAGCAAGAGAGAGAUAACAUGGCACUUGCUCUGUGACUGAGGCAGUGAGAUUGUCAGAGGGAUUCCUAGGGCUCAGUUGCUGCUUUGGAAAGCCCUUACAGCACUACCUGAACUCAGAGCUAAUGUUUUAUGAUAGUUCUCUGAGCGCUUCUGAUGUAACUGCAUCUUGAGUACUCAUAGGAAGGUGGGGGCUAUUUGAUCAGUUGGCAUCUGAGCUAAUGAGCUUCCAUAAGUCUGGAAGGGGAUUAGGAACAGUGGUCUGAGCACAGAGGCCUUUACUCAGCUGCAUGUUAGGCUGCCAAGUCCUUCUUUAUAUUUUGUCCUGAAUGGAUAUAGUUUACAGCAAUGAUAUUGAGAAAGGCAAAUCAGUCAUGGGACUCUGAUUUUAGCAGCACACAACAUAUUAAGAGACAUUUUGAAGUAAACCUAUACGAGGUUCUGGAUUUAAAUGAAAAA